rnacentral:rRNA from 1 species
CCUACGGGAGGCAGCAGUGAGGAAUAUUGGUCAAUGGGCGGGAGCCUGAACCAGCCAAGCCGCGUGAGGGAAGAAGGUACAGCGUAUCGUAAACCUCUUUUGUCAGGGAACAAAGGCGGGGACUAGUCCCCGGAUGAGGGUACCUGAAGAAAAAGCAUCGGCUAACUCCGUGCCAGCAGCCGCGGUAAUACGGAGGAUGCGAGCGUUAUCCGGAUUUAAGGGGUUUAAAGGGUGCGCAGGCGGCCUGUUAAGUCAGCGGUAAAAGCCCGGGGCUCAACCCCGGCGAGCCGUUGAAACUGGCGGGCUGGAGUUGGAGAGAAGUACGCGGAAUGCGCGGUGUAGCGGUGAAAUGCUUAGAUAUCGCGCAGAACCCCGAUUGCGAAGGCAGCGUACCGGCUCCACACUGACGCUGAGGCACGAAAGCGUGGGUAUCGAACAGGAUUAGAUACCCCUGUAGUC